rnacentral:rRNA from 1 species
UACGGAGGAUCCGAGCGUUAUCCGGAUUUAUUGGGUUUAAAGGGUGCGUAGGCGGCAUGCUAAGUCAGGGGUGAAAGACGGUGGCUCAACCAUCGCAGUGCCUUUGAUACUGGUGUGCUUGAAUGCGGAUGAGGUAGGCGGAAUGUGGCAAGUAGCGGUGAAAUGCAUAGAUAUGCCACAGAACACCGAUUGCGAAGGCAGCUUACCAAGGCGCGAUUGACGCUGAUGCACGAAAGCGUGGGGAUCGAACAGG